GAGUGAAGCGGCAACAGCUCAAAUUUGAAAUCUGGCCCUAGCGGUCCGAGUUGUAAUUUGUAGAGGAUGCUUUUGGUUAGGUGCCUUCCGAGUUCCCUGGAACGGGACGCCAGAGAGGGUGAGAGCCCCGUACGGUUGGACACCGAGCCUCUGUAUAGCUCCUUCGACGAGUCGAGUAGUUUGGGAAUGCUGCUCUAAAUGGGAGGUAAAUUUCUUCUAAAGCUAAAUACCGGCCAGAGACCGAUAGCGCACAAGUAGAGUGAUCGAAAGAUGAAAAGUACUUUGAAAAGAGGGUUAAAUAGCACGUGAAAUUGUUGAAAGGGAAGCGUUUGCGACCAGACUUUUUCCAGGCGGAUCAUCCGGUGUUCUCACCGGUGCACUUCGCCUGGUUUAGGCCAGCAUCGGUUCUCUUAGGGGGAUAAAGGCCUGGGGAACGUAGCUCCUUCGGGAGUGUUAUAGCCCCUGGCGUAAUACCCUU
rnacentral:rRNA from 1 species